rnacentral:rRNA from 1 species
GACGAGGGACCUAGCGUUGUUCGGAAUCAUUGGGCGUAAAGGGUGCGUAGGUGGCCAUGUAAGUCAGUUGUGAAAUCCCCGGGCUCAACCCGGGAAGUGCUUCUGAUACUGCUUGGCUUGAAUAUUGGAGAGGUGAGUGGAAUUCCAGGUGUAGUGGUGAAAUACGUAGAUAUCUGGAGGAACACCGGCGGCGAAGGCGGCUCACUGGCCAUAUAUUGACACUGAAGCACGAAAGCGUGGGGAGCAAACAGG